AAUGGGCGCAAGCCUGAUCCAGCCAUGCCGCGUGAGUGAUGAAGGCCCUAGGGUCGUAAAGCUCUUUCGCCUGUGAAGAUAAUGACGGUAGCAGGUAAUGAAACCCCGGCUAACUCCGUGCCAGCAGCCGCGGUAAUACGGAGGGGGUUAGCGUUGUUCGGAAUUACUGGGCGUAAAGCGCGCGUAGGCGGACUAUUAAGUCAGAGGUGAAAUCCCGGGGCUCAACCCCGGAACUGCCUUUGAUACUGGUAGUCUUGAGUUCGAGAGAGGUAAGUGGAAUUCCGAGUGUAGAGGUGAAAUUCGUAGAUAUUCGGAGGAACACCAGUGGCGAAGGCGGCUUACUGGCUCGAUACUGACGCUGAGGUGCGAAAGUGUGGGGAGCAAACAGGAUU
rnacentral:rRNA from 1 species